rnacentral:rRNA from 1 species
UACGAAGGGGGCUAGCGUUGCUCGGAAUCACUGGGCGUAAAGCGCACGUAGGCGGCUUCUUAAGUCAGGGGUGAAAUCCUGGAGCUCAACUCCAGAACUGCCUUUGAUACUGCAAAUCUCGAGUCCGAUAGAGGUGGGUGGAAUUCCUAGUGUAGAGGUGAAAUUCGUAGAUAUUAGGAAGAACACCGGUGGCGAAGGCGGCCCACUGGAUCGGUACUGACGCUGAGGUGCGAAAGCGUGGGGAGCAAACAGG